rnacentral:rRNA from 1 species
CGCUGGACCAUGCACAAGUCUCCUGGAAUGGAGCGUCAUAGAGGGUGAGAAUCCCGUCUUUGGCAUGGAUCCCAGGGCUUCUGUGAUGCGCUCUCGACGAGUCGAGUUGUUUGGGAAUGCAGCUCAAAAUGGGUGGUGAACUCCAUCUAAAGCUAAAUAUUGGCGAGAGACCGAUAGCGAACAAGUACCGUGAGGGAAAGAUGAAAAGCACUUUGGAAAGAGAGUGAAACAGUACGUGAAAUUGUUGAAAGGGAAACGCUUGAAGUCAGUCGCGUUGACCGAGACUCAACCUUGCUUUGGCUUGGUGUAUUUCUCGGCUGACGGGUCAGCAUCAAUUUUGACCCUCAGAUAAUGACAAGGGAAAGGUGGCACCUUUUAGGUGUGUUAUAGUCCCAUGUCGCAUGUGAGGGUUGGGAUUGAGGAACUCAGCAUGCACCUCUGGGUGUCGGGGCUUUGGCCCACGUUACAUGCUUAGGAUGCUGGCGUAAUGGCUUUAAACGACCCGUCUUGAAACACGGACCAAGGAGUCUAACAUACCCGCGAGUGUUCGGGUGGAAAACCCGUGCGCGUAAUGAAAGUAAAAGUUGGGACCUCUGUCGUGGAGGGCACCGACGCCCGGACCAGACCUUCUGUGACGGCUCUGCGGUAGAGCGUGUAUGUUGGGACCCGAAAGAUGGUGAACUAUGCCUGAAUAGGGUGAAGCCAGAGGAAACUCCUGGUGGAGGCUCGUAGCGAUUCUGACGUGCAAAUCGAUCGUCAAAUUUGGGUAUAGGGGCGAAAGACUAAUCGAACCAUCUAGUAGCUGGUUCCUGCCGA